rnacentral:rRNA from 1 species
UGUAAAAUUUUAAAGGUCGAACAGACCUAAUAUUUUAGCUUCUACACCAAAAAUUAAUUUUAAUCCAACAUCGAGGUCGCAAUCUUUUUUUUCGAUUUGAACUCUAUAAAAAAAUUACGCUGUUAUCCCUAAGGUAAUUUAAUCUUAUAAUCAUAAAUAAUGGAUCAAAUAAUCAUAAAUUAAUGUGUAUAUAUAAAAAAAGUUUAUCAAAUUUUUUAAUCAUCCCAAUUAAAUAAAAAUUAUAAUUAAAUUUAAUGUAAACUAAAAUAUCAAAUUAUAAUUAUUUUAUAAAACUCUAUAGGGUCUUCUCGUCUUUUAACAGUAUUUAAGCUUUUUAACUUAAAAAUAAAAUUCUAAUAAAAUUAAUAAGAGACAGUUAUUUUUUCAUUCAACCUUUCAUACCAGCUUUCAAUUAAAAAACUAAUUAUUAUGCUACCUUAGCACGAUCAAAAUAUCGCGGCCAUUUAAAAUUUCAGUGGGCAGGUUAGACCUAAUAUUAUAGCCAAUAGGAC